UCCGAUAUGGUGUAACGGCUAACAUUACCGCCUUUCAGAUCCUAGGUUCAUUCCUGGAGCAUGAUCGCGGUAGCUCGGGGUUCGAUUCCCCGUAUCGGAG